GCGGGCGGCGCAAGUGGCCCGUCUCUGACCCCGAGAACACGAGGCCGCCCGCCCUGUGCGCCUCAGGCCACCGCCCCGCCCCUCCGGCGGCUCCGGGGCCCCAUCGCCGCGCAGUAGCCGGCAGGUUCCAGGGAUUUGGAUGUCUGUGUCUUUGGGGGGCCAUUACUUCGCCUGCCACGUGGUACAGAGCGGGAGACACCUUUACAAAUGAGGAUUUCCUUUAUGAAUGUAAACUUCCCUUACAAAAGAUGGUGAACUGAGCCCCAGAGGUGGAGCGAACUCCCAAAUCCAUGCCGGGCAUGUAACUGAAUGGGAGACUUAAGCCCCAAACACAUCGAUUUGUGAAUAGAAAUGAUACUGAGAGAACAGCAGGCACCCGACUGUGACAAGAAUUCCCCUGUUUCAUUUUGUCAAGCCGGUCGUGUGAGAUCUGUAUUUCUGGUUAUCAUCCGAUAGAACACACGCCUUGUCAAUGUCCAUGUCCAGCAGAUUUGAGAAAAGGAAAUAAAUGGCAUCAGUUAAGAGGU